UACGAAGGGUGCAAGCGUUACUCGGAAUCACUGGGCGUAAAGCGCACGUAGGCGGAUUUGCCAGUCAGGGGUGAAAUCCCGGGGCUCAACCUGGGAAUUGCAUCCAAAACUGUCUGACUAGAGUACGGUAGAGGGUGGUGGAAUUUCCUGUGUAGCGGUGAAAUGCGUAGAUAUCACGAGGAACACCGGAGGUGUAGACGGGUGACUGGACGGAGACUGACGCUGAGGCGCGAAAGCCGGGGGAGCGAACGGG
rnacentral:rRNA from 1 species